rnacentral:misc_RNA from 1 species
GAUGAAGAACGUAGUGAAAUGCGAUAAGUAGUGUGAAUUGCAGAAUUCAGUGAAUCAUCGAAUCUUUGAACGCACAUUGCGCCCUUUGGUAUUCCUUAGGGCAUGCCUGUUCGAGCGUCAUUUAAACCUUCAAGCUCAGCUUGGUGAUGGGCGACUGUCCCCCCCCCCUCGCGGGGGGGACUCGCCUCAAAAACAUUGGCGGCCGGUACAUUGGCUUCGAGCGCAGCAGAAACGCGGUCUCGAGCCCGGUGGAUCGGCUCCCAUAAGCCUAUUCUUUUAUUUUGACCUCGGAUCAGGUAGGGAUACCCGCUGAACUUAAGCAUAUCAAUAAGCGGAGGA